rnacentral:rRNA from 1 species
AGUGAACGCUGGCGGUAGGCCUAACACAUGCAAGUCGAACGGCAGCACAGUAAGAGCUUGCUCUUACGGGUGGCGAGUGGCGAACGGGUGAGGAAUACAUCGGAAUCUACUUUUUCGUGGGGGAUAACGUAGGGAAACUUACGCUAAUACCGCAUGCGACCUACGGGUGAAAGCAGGGGAUCUUCGGACCUUGCGCGAUUGAAUGAGCCGAUGUCGGAUUAGCUAGUUGGCGGGGUAAAGGCCCACCAAGGCGACGAUCCGUAGCUGGUCUGAGAGGAUGAUCAGCCACACUGGAACUGAGACACGGUCCAGACUCCUACGGGAGGCAGCAGUGGGGAAUAUUGGACAAUGGGCGCAAGCCUGAUCCAGCCAUACCGCGUGGGUGAAGAAGGCCUUCGGGUUGUAAAGCCCUUUUGUUGGGAAAGAAAAGCAGCAGGUUAAUACCCCGCUGUUCUGACGGUACCCAAAGAAUAAGCACCGGCUAACUUCGUG